GGGACACGAGUGCUUCUCCGAUUUAAAAAUACACAUGCACACAAUGCCAUUUAGAGCAGAGAGCCUAUACUUUUAGGACUCAAGUCAAACUCUCAUCUGUUUAGGGAUUCACACACAAUCCAGUUUUCCUUCCCUUUGCUUCCCUUCCUAGGCCUCUGGACAGGAGCAUAAAAGUAGCAAAACAAGCCAGAAGAUCGUGGAUGAUUUAAAUUUGAGCACGUUUGAGGCUCUGCGGAUUGACCCUGUUGCUAACACCCACCCACUUCUGGUCUUUGUCAACCCUAAGAGUGGUGGGAAGCAGGGAGAGAGGGUGCUUUGGAAAUUCCAGUAUCUGCUAAACCCUCGACAGGUGUUCAACCUCCUAAAGGAUGGUCCUGAGCCAGGGCUUAGAUUCUUCAGAGAAGUUCCCGAUUACCGGAUUUUGGUGUGUGGUGGAGAUGGCACAGUAGGCUGGAUCCUCGAGACCAUUGACAAAGCCAACUUGCCUGUUGUGCCUCCUGUUGCUGUGUUACCCCUGGGCACUGGAAAUGAUCUAGCUCGUUGUCUAAGAUGGGGAGGAGGUAAAUGAUUAGAAAUUUUUGCUUGGGUAAUGGGUGGAGUUGGGUUGGAAGGGGAAGACACCUAGAAAGCAUCUAGGCGUCUGGUGUACAAAGAGGGUUGGGAAGAAUAGGCAUAGAUGGGCAGGUACCAAAGUGGAUUGUCCCAAAAGGAGAGAGCUGUGGAAGGAACAAGGAUCACAGUCUGAACUUAGAAGGGUCAAGGGUGAUGGUUCUCUCCCCUAUAAAUCUAAAAAUCUUCUAUUUCUCCCAACCAAUUCUUAGGGCCCAGAGCAUCAGGGAAAAAGGGGGUAGAGGGAGGACAGUGUAGGAAUAAGAAAGGUUGUAUAAGAGCUAAGCCAGCUCUGGCCAGUGUGGCUCAGUUG